rnacentral:sRNA from 1 species
GCUGGGUGCAGUGGUGCACGCCUAUAAUCCCAGAUACUUGGGAGGCUGAGGCAGGAGGAUGGCAACUUAAUGAGAACCUGUCUCAA